CCUACGGGAGGCAGCAGUAGGGAAUUUUCGUCAAUGGGCGCAAGCCUGAACGAGCGAUGCCGCGUGAGUGAAGAAGGCCUUCGGGUCGUAAAGCUCUGUUGCGGGGGAAAAAAGGCAGCAUCAGGAAAUGGGUGCUGACUGAUGGUGCCCCGCCAGAAAGUCACGGCUAACUACGUGCCAGCAGCCGCGGUAAUACGUAGGUGGCGAGCGUUAUCCGGAAUGGUUGGGCGGAAAGGGUGCGCAGGCGGUCCUUCAAGUCUGGAGUGAAACGCAUGAGCUCAACUCAUGCAUGGCUUUGGAAACUGGAGGACUUGAGUGCAGGAGAGGUCGGUGGAACUCCAUGUGUAGCGGUAAAAUGCGUAGAUAUAUGGAAGAACACCAGUGGCGAAGGCGGCCGCCUGGCCUGUUGCUGACGCUGAGGCACGAAAGCGUGGGUAGCAAAUAGGAUUAGAUACCCGGGUAGUC
rnacentral:rRNA from 1 species